rnacentral:tRNA from 1 species
GAAGGUGUUAAACUAAUCUGCUAAACUAGUAACCCAACCAUGACACGUUGGCACCCUC